rnacentral:lncRNA from 1 species
UUUGUUAUGUGCUCUAUUUCCAUUUCUUUUGUAAGUAGGUCAGUUGUUCUUGUGAAUAUCUCACCUUUAUCCUUCACUCNNNNNNNNNNNNNNNNNNNNNUUUCCUUUCUCCCUUAGAGCUGAUCAUGGCUGCAGGAAAAUUUGCAAGCUUUCCUAGAAACAUGUCGGUGAAUCACCAGUUCCCUCUGGCCUCCUCUAUGGACCUUCUGAGCAGCAAGUCCCCUCUCGUUGAGCAUCGCACAGAUGCCUAUCAAGACGUGUCUAUACAUGGCACCCUUCCACGGAAGAAAAAGGGCCCUCCUCCCAUAAGGUCCUGUAAUAACAUCAGUCAUAUGGGCACCCUCCCCCACUCCAAAUCCCCGUGGCAGAGCUCACCUCUGACCCAGGACAUCAUCCAGGAAAACCCACUGCAAGACUGGAAAGGUGAAAUCUUCACUUUCAGAUGAGAUAGAACCUCACUCAUAGAGGCAAGAAUUUGCUCUGGAAGAAAAAGAAGCAGGAGUUUUAAAAGUAAAUAGGCCUCAGGAUUUCUCCUUCCCAGGGAUGGAAAUGUGUUCUCAUCUACAGCCUGUGUGGACCAUAAGAAGGAAGAUUCCCAAAGUUGAAGGAAAUGAUAAAUACAGAUCCCAUGGUCUCCACUCUAACAGGGAAACACAGUUUGGGAUAACUGAAAACAACAUUCUGAGCCCGGUUCCAAAGGAUGAAGAGGCUGCGGGCCAUCUAGGUAACUCCUCUGUUGGAGUUGUACAUGAAAGGCCACAUCUAUCCCAAACCUACUUAUUUAGAGGAUCCCCCAGUGUGACAUGAACUAGGGCCAGUUGAUUCACUGGUAUAUGGAACACACAUCACAUGCCAGAUUUGUGCCAGGUGAUGGAGAUUUGGACAGAGAGGCUAGGUUUUUGUCCAUUUAAGGAGUUCAGAGCUCUGAGAGAAGGGAUGUCUAUUUUUUGGGGGGUACCGGGGAUCGAACUCAGGUCCUUGUGCUUGCGCAG